rnacentral:rRNA from 1 species
AUUGAACGCUGGCGGCAGGCCUAACACAUGCAAGUCGAGCGGAGCGGCGGACGGGUGAGUAAUGCCUAGGCAUCUGCCUGGUAGUGGGCGAUAACGUCCGGAAACGGGCGCCAAUACCGCAUCCUAUCAGAUGAGCCUAGGUCGGAUGCGCUAGUUGGUGGGGUAAAGGCCUACCAAGGCGUCGAUACGUAACGGGUCUGAGAGGAUGAUCAGUCACACUGGAACGUAGACACGGUCAAGACUCCUACGGGAGGCAGCAGUGGGGAAUAUUGGACAAUGGGCGAAAGCCUGAGCCAGCCAUGCCGCGUGGGGGAAGAAGGUCUUCGGAUUGUAAACCACUUUAAGUUGGGCGGCGUUACCAACAGAAUAAGCACCGGCUAACUUCGUGCCAGCAGCCGCGGUAAUAC